UUAGCCAUGCUAGUCGCACGAGUUUAGACUCGUGGCAGAUAGCUCAGUAACACGUGGCCAAACUACCCUGUCGAUCGGGACACCCUCGGGAAACUGAGGCUAAUCCCGGAUACGGCUCGCUGCCUGGAGUUGGCGCGAGCUCGAAACGUUCAGGCGCGACAGGAUGUGGCUGCGGCCGAUUAGGUAGACGGUGGGGUAACGGCCCACCGUGCCGAUAAUCGGUACGGGUUGUGAAAGCAAGAGCCCGGAGACGGAAUCUGAGACAAGAUUCCGGGCCCUACGGGGCGCAGCAGGCGCGAAACCUUUACACUGCACGCGAGUGCGAUAGGGGGACUCCAAGUGCGAGGGCAUACAGUCCUCGCUUUUUGCGACCGUAAGGAGGUCGCGGAAUAAGUGCUGGGCAAGACCGGUGCCAGCCGCCGCGGUAAUACCGGCAGCACGAGUGAUGACCGCUAUUAUUGGGCCUAAAGCGUCCGUAGCCGGCCAGGCAAGUCCAUCGGGAAAUCCGCACGCCUAACGUGCGGGCGUCCGGUGGAAACUGCUUGGCUUGGGACCGGAAGAUCCAGAGGGUACGUCCGGGGUAGGAGUGAAAUCCUGUAAUCCUGGACGGACCACCGGUGGCGAAAGCGCUCUGGAAAGACGGAUCCGACGGUGAGGGACGAAAGCUUGGGUCACGAACCGGAUUAGAUACCCGGGUAGUCCAAGCUGUAAACGAUGUCUGCUAGGUGUGGCACAGGCUACGAGCCUGUGCUGUGCCGUAGGGAAGCCGUGAAGCAGACCGCCUGGGAAGUACGUCUGCAAGGAUGAAACUUAAAGGAAUUGGCGGGGGAGCACUACAACCGGAGGAGCCUGCGGUUUAUUUGGACUCAACGCCGGACAUCUCACCAGCAUCGACAGUAGCUGUGACGGUCAGUGUGAUGAGCUUACUAGAAGCUACUGAGAGGAGGUGCAUGGCCGCCGUC
rnacentral:rRNA from 1 species